rnacentral:rRNA from 1 species
UAGGGAAUCUUCCGCAAUGGGCGAAAGCCUGACGGAGCAACGCCGCGUGAGUGAUGAAGGUCUUCGGAUCGUAAAACUCUGUUAUUAGGGAAGAACAAAUGUGUAAGUAACUAUGCACGUCUUGACGGUACCUAAUCAGAAAGCCACGGCUAACUACGUGCCAGCAGCCGCGGUAAUACGUAGGUGGCAAGCGUUAUCCGGAAUUAUUGGGCGUAAAGCGCGCGUAGGCGGUUUUUUAAGUCUGAUGUGAAAGCCCACGGCUCAACCGUGGAGGGUCAUUGGAAACUGGAAAACUUGAGUGCAGAAGAGGAAAGUGGACUUCCAUGUGUAGCGGUGAAAUGCGCAGAGAUAUGGAGGAACUCCAGUGGCGAAGGCGACUUUCUGGUCUGUAACUGACGCUGAUGUGCGAAAGCGUGGGGAUCAAACAGG